rnacentral:lncRNA from 1 species
AAUCCAAUCAGGUCAAAACCCUGAUUGAGCCCAAAGUUGAAUCCAAUUCAAUUUGGCUCAUUCUUAGCACAAUUACUCAAUCAAAUUGAGUUUAUUAGUAAUUUAAUUACUAAUUAAUCCUUCAAUAAUUACUUUAAUUAUUUUAUAAGAUAAUUUGCCAAUCAAAUUGACCAAAUUAUCCCUAAAUAAUUCUUAAUCAUUCAU